CCUACGGGGGGCAGCAGUGGGGAAUAUUGCACAAUGGGGGAAACCCUGAUGCAGCGACGCCACGUGAGCGAAGAAGUAUUUCGGUAUGUAAAGCUCUAUCAGCAGGGAAGAAAAAUGACGGUACCUGAGUAAGAAGCACCGGCUAAAUACGUGCCAGCAGCCGCGGUAAUACGUAUGGUGCAAGCGUUAUCCGGAUUUACUGGGUGUAAAGGGAGCGCAGGCGGUGCGGCAAGUCUGAUGUGAAAUCCACGGGCUCAACCCGUGAACUGCAUUUGAAACUGUUUCCCUUGAGUGUCGGAGAGGUA
rnacentral:rRNA from 1 species